UAUAAGCUGAUAAGUAUUUUAAUUUUUUUGUUUGCUGAAUAUCGCGCAAAGCUACUCAAGGACUGUUUGUUCUAGCCGUCCCUGCCAAAUCUUGGGCUACUCUUCUCGGACCGCAUAGUGGAAUUUCACCGUCAAUCUUAUAACGCACCCAACGCGUGCGUUCUGGGUUGGUAUUCGGUCACUGUGCGCGACAUGGGUGGGUCAGGUUCUCAGCAGACUUCUUUCUCCCUAACGCAACCACGGCCCACAGUAAGAGUCACGAAUUUGUGUUUUGGCGCGAACAAAGGAAUCUCAGAUCCACAGUUUGUUAAUUUAACUGAUGGGCUGCACUCGGGUCUUUAAUUUAAAGUGAUACAGAAACCUAUAUGCACUGGCUUGUGAUGACAUGGACUUUGUAUGUGGAGGUACCUAACCUAAGGAUUCUGGGAUACCACACUCAGACUUCGGUGAACUAUAAAAGAUAUUUCCAUGAUUCUGUUAUAUUUUGGCUUUUUUGUUUGGGUUUCUUGUCUUCAGCUUUUGAUCCCACCCUUACCUCUAGCAGCCAGACUGCAGUCUUUCAGAAUGUUGGAAAUUUUGUUUUGUGAAUAAAGAUUUUUUGUUUG